rnacentral:rRNA from 1 species
CUUGUACACACCGCCCGUCACACCAUGGGAGUGGGCUCUACCAGAAGUAGGUAGGCUAACCGCAAGGGGGCCGCUUACCACGGUAGGAUUCAUGACUGGGGUG